AGUUCUGUAGUGAAAUUCAUGUUGAGUUGCAAGCUCAUUGAUGUGUGUGUAGACACACCAGGACUU
rnacentral:tRNA from 1 species